GCCCUUGUAGCUCAGUCGGUAGAGCACAUCCAUGGUAAGGAUGCGGUCAGCGGUUCGAUUCCGCUUGAGGGCU
rnacentral:tRNA from 2 species